rnacentral:rRNA from 1 species
UACGUAGGGGGCAAGCGUUGUCCGGAAUCAUUGGGCGUAAAGCGCGUGUAGGCGGCUUGUCGCGUCGUCCGUGAAAACCUGGGGCUCAACUCCAGGCUUGCGGUCGAUACGGGCAUCACUUGAGUUCGGCAGGGGAGACUGGAAUUCCUGGUGUAGCGGUGAAAUGCGCAGAUAUCAGGAGGAACACCGGUGGCGAAGGCGGGUCUCUGGGCCGAUACUGACGCUGAGGAGCGAAAGCGUGGGGAGCAAACAGG